UGGGGAAUUUUGGACAAUGGGCGAAAGCCUGAUCCAGCAAUGCCGCGUGUGUGAAGAAGGCCUUCGGGUUGUAAAGCACUUUUGUCCGGAAAGAAAUGGCUCUGGUUAAUACCUGGGGUCGAUGACGGUACCGGAAGAAUAAGGACCGGCUAACUACGUGCCAGCAGCCGCGGUAAUACGUAGGGUCCAAGCGUUAAUCGGAAUUACUGGGCGUAAAGCGUGCGCAGGCGGUUGUGCAAGACCGAUGUGAAAUCCCCGAGCUUAACUUGGGAAUUGCAUUGGUGACUGCACGGCUAGAGUGUGUCAGAGGGGGGUAGAAUUCCACGUGUAGCAGUGAAAUGCGUAGAGAUGUGGAGGAAUACCGAUGGCGAAGGCAGCCCCCUGGGAUAACACUGACGCUCAUGCACGAAAGCGUGGGGAGCAAACAGGAUUAGAUACCCUGGUAGUCCACGCCCUAAACGAUGUCAACUAGUUGUUGGGGAUUCAUUUCCUUAGUACGUAGCUAACGCGUGAAGUUGACCGCCUGGGGAGUACGGUCGCAA
rnacentral:rRNA from 1 species